rnacentral:tRNA from 1 species
CAAGAGAUAGUUUAUUAAAAAUAUUGGUUUUGGGGACCAAUGAUAGAGGUAGGUCUCUUCUUUUGA